rnacentral:misc_RNA from 1 species
GGGAGUUUGAAAUAUCUGAAUGUCAUUUUCAGAUAACAUAUCAUGUGCCAAACGGUCUGGAAGAUCAUUGAAGAACUUCUCAAACUCUAUGUAGGUCUCUGCAGGUAACAUGGACAUCAAAGUUGAUAAGGAGUUUAUUGCUGCUUCUUGCGCAAAAUGAUUAUCACUCAUCAGGCCCGUCGGUCCCAACAAACCCUUGCACAAACCAACCACAUUAGUUGUGACAGAACCAAUGGCAUCAAUACCAUGUUUAUGCAAACAUUUUUGCACCCUCCUCCACACAGAAUUUC